CUUCUGUUUUGGCAUAAUGUAUCGUCUAAUGUGGAUUUCGAUGGGAUAGUAGAAAAAGAAUAAACAAAGUUAAUUUACCUGAGAAGAGAACCAUCAAAGCCAUGCAAGAAGAGACUAAUUGAUUGGACAUGGUGAGAGACUUUAUUUAUCUAUGUAUAACCUUCUUUACGAUGUAUGUAAUAUAUGUUUUUUUAUGCCAAAAAAAAAAAAAAAUAUAUGUUUUUUUGUCCCAUACAAAUACUAUUAUAUACAACAUUUUAGUCAACCCACACUGUGGUGGUCAAAUGAAUAGAUAGAAAUUAUAACAUAUGAUAAGAUAUUAUACCAUAUAUUAUAAAUGCAUUGACUCUUACGCAUCAUUUGUUGCCAGAUAAUUUCAUGCUGAAUCUAAAAGUAUUGUAAAAUAAAAUGGGUUGUCAUGAUAUUCUCCCCCCCCCCCCCCCCCCCCUUUUACUUUCAUGGAAGACUUCCCCAAACUAAAUAAUCCAACCUAAUUCUGCAUAUCUAAUAAAAUCAGUAGAACAUGUUUUAUACUCUUAACAGCGUUUAAGAAACUGCUAAAGCAUAAGACCAUGCUUCUUCCUCUUAUUUUGUAUGUGUAAGUCCGCAUAUGCUUUUGUAACAUGUGUACACUAUUUAUCAGUCAUGUACGAGACUAGAGUACGAGAGAGACCAUGUUCUAUAUUUACUAACUGUGUUUGUUAAUGGUCAAACCCUUUUCUUAUAAUCAAAACCAUUUUCUUGUAUCUUGAUUACACCAACAUGUAAUUAUCAAGUAAAGGAGACCAAGCAUGAGCUUUCUCAUUAGAUUGGAGUUUGAAGAUUUUUGAGUAACCAUCAUGCGAUAGAAUCUCAAUACUAAUUACCAAGAAUACUUUCGACUUAAUUAUAGCUAAUAGCUCUCACUAAGGAAGAUGAUUCGUUCUGCUAAUUUCUCUAUAGAAGCCAGACCAACAAGAGAACACUAAUUAACUUGGUUAUACGUUCAUUCAAAUGUGAAUAUUUAAAAACACUUAAAACUGUCAACAUAAAGCAGAGAGUUGGUGCAGAGAAAGUUAGAGAGAAAAAGUUAGAGAGAAAUUUUGGGGUUCCGGCGGUCGGUCGGCGCGUGAGCGUCCGUGCCGCCGCCGGAGUCUUUUCCUCCUUCAGAAUAAAUCACCAGUCUUUGUCUCCUUCUCUCCUUCUCCGGUUUCUGUCUGUCGGAGCUCUGGUCACCCAACAAUCGCCGGUGGUUGUGGUUCUGGAGUCACGACGCGGUUGCGGGAAGGAGGGGAUGGUUUAGUUGAGUUUUCGGUUUCCGGGAGACGGAGGCUCUCACAGAUCCGUCAUCGCCGGACUUUGCAUCCGCGGCGGGGAAGCUUCCUUAGUUCCGCCGUCGUCGGCUCUAGUCCCCGGGGGGUGAAGGCUUUCACAGCUUCGCGUCGCCGGAUCUCGUCCCCUUGUCCUUUUGGGUUUCGUCCUUUUAGUUUAAUUUUUUCUCUUCGCUUAGUUUUAGGUUUUUUUGUGUUUUUGCCGGAGGAGAGUGAGGCUCUCCGGUGGAAUCGGUUCAAGUUGCAUGCGUUAAUUUCUUUGGGUGGUUGCGGUGAACUGUGUUGGGGGAGCUCUCGCCAUGGCGAUCGAUGCUCUCCGGUUUCAGAGGCCCAAAGAGGUUUGAAGUGAGGUUUGGCGGAGCUGCAGUGCUCCGUUUUGGUCGAGAGAUCCGAAGGCUGGAUCUCCGACGAAGAUGAGAGGUGGUGGAGAUGAGGCGUCCGUGUGACACGUGCCCCUCGUCGUCGAGGAUGGCAACACGUGUCCGUGCUUCGGAAAAGCUGGACAUUCGACGCGGCUGCUCUCUUUCCUGUAGGGAGAUUAGGGUUUCUCUUGUUGGGCCGGAAGGUUAUGGGCCCUUUUGGUUAUCGGGUUUAGUUGUAGUAUGGGCUUUUAUUGUAAUGAUUCUGGGCUUGGCCCAUAUCCUUUAAUAUAUAAAAUCAUAUUGACGG